rnacentral:lncRNA from 1 species
UCGUCAUGGCACUCCUGCGACCAACGGCGAAUCUAAGGUACGGCCAUGUACUGCCCACCAAGUUUUCCCUCAAACCCAAGCCAAUCUCAUGUACCAACGGCGCAUGUUCUUAGCGCGCGAUCCGUCCUUGCCGUCAUCCAAUUCGCAGCUGCUGCCGAUGUAACCAGCGGGCCACGCCCAAAAUACCUGCCUCACAAAUCUACUUUGCUAAAUUGACCAUCUACCUCCACAGUACUAUGCAUGUAAACGGCGUCCGAAUUGACAUGACGAGUCAGAGAGGAAAGCAGGGCAGGACCUGAGCACGCUUACUAAUAGGACUGGAUGGAUACUGCUGCGGUGCUGCCACAGAUUUCAUUCUAGGUAUGACUACAUCUAUUUUUUCUUUGUAAAAGAAAGAAGAUCAGGCUCUUCAACUGUUCAUUAACGCACGAUUAAGCUCGCAAAGUAGCACCCAAUCUCAAUAUUUACUCGUCCACUUAUUAAUAUUACAUGCAAGGUAAUGAUCGGGCCUCUCUAUACUAUGCAAAUUGAUAUGCUUGAACAGCAACAAAGUGCAGCAAUUAAUUUAACAUAACAUAUAUUAACUACAAACAUAUAAGAGAUUGUAAAUCAAGUUGACUAUCAUGCACUAUAUACAAGACUUAUACUAUUGUACGUAUUAACUUAGUCUGCAUGGCUUGCAGUGCACUUGCUGCAACCAGAGUAUGUAUAUGGUUUCUUCUGUAUUGCCAUGUUGGCUUUGAAACUGAGCAGAAUUAUUUAAUUUGCUUAUUAAUAUUAUUUAUUUAUUUAUAUUUUGCAGAUUGGUGCUUCUUUUCCUUUUCUAAAAUAAAAGUUGAUCUUUGAGUUAUGUUAGUCAAAUAUGAUUAUUAUGCCAGACUAUAUCAUCAGCAAGGUGUUUUUAGUACCAAAUGAUGAAUAUUUCAACCAUUAUUUGGCGGUAAUUUAGAUGCUUUCCCUUACUUUCCAAAAAUAAUAUAGGUGCUUCUGUUACAAUUGGGAGUUGAUGUAUUGUUAUCUCAGUAUGGUGGCCAAUACAAAUUAUAUUCUAUAUUCAUAUGCACUUUCAGACCAGAUAAAGCGUAAUUGUAUUAUCUUUUGACUCUCUUCGUGGUAACAUGGUAUCUCGAUGUAUCCUCUUACAUGAGAAAUAUUUUAAUAUUAGAAGUUUGCCUUUUCAACUAAAAAAGGAUAUUAGUAUUUGUGGGUAUCAUGAGUUCAGGAUACGGUGCUCCUAUAGACGCAUUUUUUGGGGUACUAUUCCGCAUUAAAAGUCAGGAACGUGUUCUAUUCUGCCUAUUGUAUGUAUGAACGAUGGAAAGACCAAACGGUUUUGUUUUGCAAAUUCCAUACGGGAAGGGAAAGAACAAACUAUAUAAAAGGAUUAACCUGUGAUGUACUACUACUUUUCAGUACUAUGUACUCAUGAAAUACACUCCAAGGAAACAAAGCGCCUACAAGUUGUCCCUCUAAAAUUAAGGUACUCAUGUAGCCAUUCCACGAUAAAUUAGUUACUCUUUUAGCAAUUUCAAUAUAAAUUUGUUGGUUUUGCCCAAUAAGAUGUUCCUAGAAAGCUAGAACAGUACACACACUAUCGAUUUGCAACCAUGCUUUUUUGGGUCCAGAGUUUCAACUCUCACUUUUGUUCGUUGCCCACAAAAUAUUUACUCAUCAUUAUUUAUGUCACUAUGCAUCACAAAAAACAUAUGUUAUAUUGUAUUUGCAGCACGCAAAUUAUCAUGGUUUGUUUUCAGUUUAAAAGAAAUUAAGUGUUUACUUGAGCUAAUUAGCACGUGUACCAGUUAGGUAUGUGGCAUGCAAGCAGAGGAGAGGAUGAACUUGAGAAUUACCAAUUCGGCCUCAUAUUUGAUCUGAUAAGGUAAGUUUCUUCAUAGCUUUUGUCCCUGGAUGUGAAACUAUAUGUGCCAUCAAGCAUACUUUUAUUUUCUAUGGUCAUAUCGAUGCUUUAAAACUUAGGCCUAAUAUAUUGCAAAUUCUAAAGACAUACGAAUAUUCUUGCGUAUGGUCUGUAAAUCUAAGAAAUUUCGCACCAAUCCUUUUUGGUGUCUUCUCCUAACCACAUCAGACCAAGGCCACCGUCAUGAGAAUAAGUGUGCAUUGUACAAGGCUUCUGUUGAAGCUAACUAUUGAUGUCAUAUUGAAGCUAACUAUUUUGGAUCACCAUAGUAGUUAUUCCCAGCUAACAAUGUGAAACACAAAAUGUUAGUCUGUGCAUGGGUUCAUGACUAGUAUGAAAAGUAGAAUCACCUUACUAGCCUUUUUACAAUGUUUGAAGAAAAUUCUGCCUGCUAUGUAGCAAAGGCUGGGAGGUUGAUCCUUGCAUUGUUGAAGAACGAUAUAAUUGUCAAUUAUAUUGUACGACGAUAGGGAUUAAAUCGCAAAUCCGAUAUUCAUAUGCUAAGAUUAUGCAAUUCAUUCAUGGUUACAUCGGCAGUAAUAUUUGUUAUUUUUAUGAAGUGUGCAAUGUAUAUAGAAUUCAAAAAAUUACUAAUGUGAUUUCCUAGAGAAAGUAAAUAUUAGUCAGCUUUUGUAGAUGAAUUUCUGGAUCGAGUUUGCAUACAGAGAUAUAUCAGCAUAUACAAUGACUAAUAUUCUGUCUCUACAACUACUUGCAUAUGUUAAUGCACUGUGUGUUAACAGUUCAUUUUGAUUUUUUUGUUUAUAGAUGCAAAAAAUAAAUGGAUGAUUAUAUGGGUGUGUGAAGAUCAUGAUGCUCCUGUCCAUGAUGAUGAUGAUGAUGAUGAUGAUGAUGAUGGAUGCUUUUAUUGUUCGUUAAGUUGUAGGGAUGUUCAUUUUGGGUGAUGGGUGAUGUUCCUCAGUUAAGUUUUAGAUAAGUUGUAGGGAUGUUGAUGGAUACUUUCGGUUGAACUUUCGAUGUGUCGAAAAUAUUUAGAUUAUGCAUCAGAUUGGGAUGAUGUUCCUCUUGUAAUAUCCAAUAUUGUAACCCACAAUUUUAUCAAAUAUAUGAUUUCUUCAUUAUAUGUGAGUAAUAUUCUCUUAGUUUUUCUUCACUUG